rnacentral:rRNA from 1 species
UACAGAGGAGCCAAGCGUUGUCCGGAUUGACUGGGCGUAAAGCGCACGCAGGCGGAUGCGCGCGUGGGGUGGUGAAAUCUGGACCGCUUAACGGCCAGGCGCCAUCCCAUACGGCGCGUCUGGAGUGAUGCAGAGGUCGGUGGAAUUGCCGGUGUAGUGGUGAAAUGCGUAGAGAUCGGCAGGAACACCCAGGGGGAAACCGAGC